GCCGGUUUGAUACUUUCGAAAGAAGAGGGGAGGGGAAUCAUUGAUUUUCCAUUUCUUCGGACCCUUCAAUAUUUCUUCGAAAAUGUCAAAUCAAAUCCGACGACCGAACAGAUCCGUGCCAUCGUCAUCAACUUCACCGACGACAUCUACAGCAUCGCCGGUUUGAUACUUUCGAAAGAAGAGGGGAGGGGAAUCUUUGAUUCCCCGUUUCUUCAGACCCUUCAACAUUUCUUCGAAAAUGUCAAAUCAAAUCCGACGGCCAAACAAAUCCGCACUACCGUCAUCAACUUCAUCGACAUCAUCUACAACACCGACGGUUUAAUACUUUCGAAAGAAGAGGGGAGGGGAAUCUUUGAUUCCCUGUUUCUUCGGACCCUUCAACAUUUCUUCAAAAAUGUCAAAUCAAAUCCGAUGGCCGAACAGAUCCAUGCCACUGUCAUUAACUUCGUCGACGUCAUCUGCAGCCUCGCAAGAAGAGGGGAGGGGAAUCUUUGAUUCCCCGUUUCUUCGGACCCCAAAUCAAAAUUAAAACGGGGAUUUCUUCGGACCCCAAAUUGGAAUCAAAACGGGAAUUUCUUCGGACCAAAUCAGAACCAAACGGGGAUUUCUUCGGACCCCAAAUCAAAUUGGAAAAUCAAAUCCAAAUUGGAGAAUCAAACGGGGAUUUCUUCGGACCCCAAAUCAAAUCCAAAUUAGAGAAUCAAACGGGGAUUUCUUCGGACCCCAAAUCAGAACCAAACGGGGAUUUCUUCGGACCCCAAAUCAAAUUGAAAAAUUAAAUCCAAAUUGGAGAAUCGAACGGGGAUUUCUUCGGACCCCAAAUCAAAUCAAAUUGGAAAAUCAAAUCCAAAUCAAACCAAAAUAAAACGGAAAUUUCUUCGGACCCCAAAUCAAAUCCAAUUGGAGAAUCAAACGGAGAUUUCUUCGGACCCGAAAUCCAAAUCGAGAUCAAAAGGGGAUUUCUUCGAACCCCAAAUCAAACCAAAAUCAAAAGGGGAUUUCUUCGGAUCCGAACCAAAUUGCAAAAAUCAAAAGUGGAUUGCCCCGAACCCGAAAUAAAAUCCGAUACAGUCCACAAAUAAACCUAAACCCAAAACCCAAACAAACCCAAACCCAAAACCCAAAUUAAAUCUGAACCCAAACCCAAAUCAAGUCUAAAUCCAAACCUAACCAAACCAAGUCCACAAAUAAACCCUAACUUGAACCCAAAUAAACCCAAACCCAAACCAAACCUAGUCUACAAAUAAACCCAAACUUGAACCCAAACCCAAAUCCAAACCAAACCUAGUCUACAAAUAAACCCAAACUUGAACCCAAAUCCAAACCCAAACCCAAACCUAGUCUGCAAAUAAACCCAAACUUGAACCCAAACCAAACCCAAAACCCAAAUAAACCCAAACCAAACCAAGUCCACAUAAAGAACCCAAACCCAUUCCAUAAAUAAACCCAAGCCCAAACCAAAUCAAGUUCACAAAUAAAGCCCGAAACCAAAACCCAAAUAAAAUUCGAACCCAAACCAAACCAAAACCAAAUUAAGUCCACAACCCAAGUCCACAACCCAAAUCCAAAACCCAAAUAAAAUCCAAACCUAAAACCAAACCAAGUCCACAUAAAGAACCCAAACCCAACUCAAAUCAAGUCCACAACCCAAAUCCAAAACCCAAAUAAAAUCCAAGCCAAAAUCCAAACCAAUCCCACAUAAAGAACCCAAACCCAACUCAAAUCAAGUCCACAAUCCAAAUCCAAAUCCAAAACUCAAAGAAAAAGGGGAGG
rnacentral:lncRNA from 1 species